rnacentral:rRNA from 1 species
AUUGAACGCUGGCGGCAAGCCUAACACAUGCAAGUCGAACGAGUGGCGGACGGGUGAGUAAUGUCUGGGAAACUGCCUGAUGGAGGGGGAUAACUACUGGAAACGGUAGCUAAUACCGCAUACCAUCGGAUGUGCCCAGAUGGGAUUAGCUAGUAGGUGGGGUAAAGGCUCACCUAGGCGACGAUCCCUAGCUGGUCUGAGAGGAUGACCAGCCAAACUGGAACGGAGAAACGGUCCAGACUCCGACGGGAGGGAGAAUGGGGGAAUAGUGCACAAUGGGCGCAAGCCUGAUGCAGCCAUGCCGCGUGUAUGAAGAAGGCAUUGGGGUUGUAAAGUAAUUUCAGCGGGGAGGCGUUACCCGCAGAAGAAGCACCGGCUAACUCCGUGCCAGCCGCCGCGGUAAUAC